rfam:Ipomoea nil DNA, scaffold: scaffold3056, cultivar: Tokyo-kokei standard.
GCCUGUUUUGCUCAGUCGGUACAGCGCAAGGCUCUAAACCUUGUGGUCCUGGGUUCAAGUCCCAGGGUGGGCG